rnacentral:rRNA from 1 species
UACAGAGGGUGCGAGCGUUGUCCGGAAUCACUGGGCGUAAAGGGCGCGUAGGCGGCUGAUUUAGUCGAGGGGUGAAAGCCCGUGGCUCAACCACGGAAUGGCCUCGAUACUGGUUGGCUUGAGACCGGAAGAGGACAGCGGAACUGCGAGUGUAGAGGUGAAAUUCGUAGAUAUUCGCAAGAACACCAGUGGCGAAGGCGGCUGUCUGGUCCGGUUCUG